rnacentral:rRNA from 1 species
GACGAACGCUGGCGGCGUGCUUCAUACAUGCAAGUCGAACGAGAAGCUGACUUCGGUCAGUGGAAAGUGGCGGACGGGUGAGUAAUAUGUAGGAAAUCUGCCUUUAGGAGGGGGACAACAGAGGGAAACUUCUGCUAAUACCCCAUAUGAGCGUAGCUGAAAUGCUAUUCUUGAAAACUCCGGUGCCUAAAGAUGAGCCUGCAUCUGAUUAGCUAGUUGGUAGUGUAAUGGACUACCAAGGCGACGAUCAGUAGCUGGUUUGAGAGGAUGAUCAGCCACAAUGGGACGGAGACACGGCCCAUACUCCUACGGGAGGCAGCAGUAGGGAAGUUUGCGCAAUGGGCGAAAGCCUGACGCAGCAACGCCGCGUGAACGAUUAAGCCCUUCGGGGUGUAAAGUUCUGUCAGUGGGGACGAAACUUGACGGUACCCACAGAGGAAGCACCGGCUAACUCCGUG